AAAAAAAAAAAGAAAUGCCCGAUCUCAUCUCAACUCGGAAGUAAAGCAGGGUCGGGCCUGGUUAGAACUUGGAUGGGAGACCGCCUGGGAAUACCAGGU
rnacentral:rRNA from 1 species